AUUGAACGCUGGCGGCAGGCCUAACACAUGCAAGUCGAGCGAGCGGCGGACGGGUGAGUAAUGUCUGGGAAACUGCCUGAUGGAGGGGGAUAACUACUGGAAACGGUAGCUAAUACCGCAUACCAUCAGAUGUGCCCAGAUGGGAUUAGCUAGUAGGUGGGGUAAUGGCUCACCUAGGCGACGAUCCCUAGCUGGUCUGAGAGGAUGACCAGCCACAAUGGAAGUGGGACACGGUCCAGACUCCUACGGGAGGCAGCAGUGGGGAAUAUUGCAAAAUGGGCGCAAGCCUGAUGCAGCCAAGCCGCGUGGGUGAAGAAGGCCUUUGGGUUGGAAAGCACUUUCAGCGGGGAGGCGUUACCCGCAGAAGAAGCACCGGCUAACUCCGUGCCAGCAGCCGCGGUAAUUC
rnacentral:rRNA from 1 species